CACAGACACGUCACGUGUCCCUCUGCCCACAGGGCUGUCACUUUAGGCAGUCUCGCUCAACCCUUCAUUAUGAAACUCCUAAAUUACAGCCACCUCCUGGAGCCAAAGGGAAAGGGUUUGGAUCAGCCGAAAAGGGACUACGUGAGCUACUGCAUUACAGGAAAACCCUCGGAACUAUGCCUGGCACACAGCAAGUAUUUGAUGAACGUCAGAUAGUAAUGGAUUAGACUACUGUUUCUCCAACAAGAAUUUGAGUUCCUCUGCCCAGCUCAUGUCGGUAUUCCCAAAACCUGGGAACCUAAUGCAGCGCUCUGCAUCUUGGGCACCAGGUUUGAAGAAAUGCCAAAAAUUCUGACCGAGUCAUCCUCUUCCAGGAAUCUGUCCUGAGGAAAUAAUCAAAAAGCUGGUCAAAGAUUGGUGUACAUGGAUGUUCAUUGCAUCAUUUUUUUGUAAUUACCAAAAAAAAGUAGAAACAACCUAAGAGUGUAACAGUAGGAGGUGGUUAUAUAAAAUAUAUCCAUACAGCCAUUAAAAAUAUUUUGAAGAACGUAUAAGGACAUGGAAAAAUGCCCAUGAAAUAAUGUGAACUUAAAAAGCAGAAUCUAAAUUUGUAUGCAAAACAAGAUCCUGGGUUUAUAAAAAAAUAUAUCUCUCUCUUUUUAUACAGAGGUGGGAUGAGUAGCCUGGACU
ensembl:lncRNA